rnacentral:rRNA from 1 species
GACGAACGCUGGCGGCGUGCCUAAUACAUGCAAGUCGAACGAGAAAUUCUUACACCGGAUGCUUGCAUCCACCGUAAGAUUUCGAGUGGCGGACGGGUGAGUAACACGUGGGUAACCUGCCCAAAAGAAGGGGAUAACAUUUGGAAACAAGUGCUAAUACCGUAUAACCAUGAUGACCGCAUGGUCAUGAUGUAAAAGGUGGUUUUGCUAUCGCUUUUGGAUGGACCCGCGGUGCAUUAGCUAGUCGGUGGGGUAACGGCCUACCGAGGCGAUGAUGCAUAGCCGACCUGAGAGGGUGAUCGGCCACAUUGGGACUGAGACACGGCCCAAACUCCUACGGGAGGCAGCAGUAGGGAAUCUUCGGCAAUGGACGCAAGUCUGACCGAGCAACGCCGCGUGAGUGAAGAAGGUUUUCGGAUCGUAAAGCUCUGUUGUUAGAGAAGAACAAGUAAGAUAGUAACUGAUCUUGCCUUGACGGUAUCUAACCAGAAAGCCACGGCUAACUACGUGCCAGCAGCCGCCGUAAAAC